AGUAGUUUGAUCAUGGCUCAAGAACGAACGCUGGCGGCGCGUCUUAAACAUGCAAGUCGAACGAUCUGUAGCAAUACAGGGAGUGGCGGACGGGUGAGGAACACGUAGGAAUCUACCUUGAAGAGCGGGACAACUUUGGGAAACCGGGACUAAUACCGCAUAGUACAGAGAUGUUAAAGGGCUAGCAAUAGUCGCUUCGAGAUGAGCCUGCGGUCUAUCAGCUUGUUGGUGAGGUAAUGGCUCACCAAGGCUACGACGGAUAGCCGGUCUGAGAGGAUGAUCGGCCACACUGGCACUGAGACACGGGCCAGACUCCUACGGGAGGCAGCAGUUAAGAAUCUUGCGCAAUGGGGGAAACCCUGACGCAGCGACGCCGCGUGAAGGAUGAAGGCUUCGGGUUGUAAACUUCGGUAGACUGGGAAGAAGAAAUACGUUCGUUGAGGGCGUAUAGUGACGGUACCAGUCUGAAGCCCCGGCUAAUUACGUG
rnacentral:rRNA from 1 species